rnacentral:rRNA from 1 species
UACGUAGGGGGCAAGCGUUAUCCGGAUUUACUGGGUGUAAAGGGAGCGUAGACGGUAUGGUAAGUCAGAUGUGAAAGCCCGGGGCUCAACCCCGGGACUGCAUUUGAAACUAUCAAACUGGAGUGCAGGAGAGGUAAGUGGAAUUCCUAGUGUAGCGGUGAAAUGCGUAGAUAUUAGGAGGAACACCAGUGGCGAAGGCGACUUACUGGACUGUAACUGACGUUGAGGCUCGAAAGCGUGGGGAGCAAACAGGAUUAGAUACCCCGGUAGUCCCUGAGCGGGCU